CCUACGGGUGGCAGCAGUGGGGAAUAUUGGACAAUGGGGGGAACCCUGAUCCAGCCAUGCCGCGUGUGUGAAGAAGGCCCUCGGGUUGUAAAGCACUUUCAGUGAGGAAGAACGCCUGGUGGUUAAUACCCAUCAGGAAAGACAUCACUCACAGAAGAAGCACCGGCUAACUCCGUGCCAGCAGCCGCGGUAAUACGGAGGGUGCGAGCGUUAAUCGGAAUUACUGGGCGUAAAGCGCGCGUAGGUGGCUUGAUAAGCCGGUUGUGAAAGCCCCGGGCUCAACCUUGGAACGGCAUCCGGAACUGUCAAGCUAGAGUGCAGGAGAGGAAGGUAGAAUUCCCGGUGUAGCGGUGAAAUGCGUAGAGAUCGGGAGGAAUACCAGUGGCGAAGGCGGCCUUCUGGACUGACACUGACACUGAGGUGCGAAAGCGUGGGUAGCAAACAGGAUUAGAUACCCUGGUAGUC
rnacentral:rRNA from 1 species